UUCAUGGAGAGUGUCCAAUAUCUAGGUUAUGAGAUUUCUGCUUCAGGUGUGAGUCCAGGAAAGAAAGGUUUGGAAGCAAUCAGGCAGUUUCCGGUUCCGACUUCAUGGGAAGAAGUUCGUUCGUUGUCAAAAUAUUAGGAGGACACAAGUUCAAGAAACAACAUUUCAAGUCCGGAUUUGUGGUAUCCAAGUGUUAUGGUGAGUUCCUACAAGUCAAGUCAUCUGAUCGUUCAUCGAGAGAAACAGUCGUCGUUAGUGUUGAUCAAGUCGUGCCAGACCUUUCUUGAGAGGGGAGGGAUGUGAGGUUGUUCCCGGUAUUUGGACAGCAUCGCAUGAACGCAACCAUCAACAAUAGCGUGCGCCUGCACGUGGACUUGUCAACUCUGUCGUGUGAUUGUUUCUCAAUUGUAGUGAGUCUCGUCUUUGUCUUCGUCAAGUAAACGUCUGUUAUUUGUA